rnacentral:rRNA from 1 species
GUGGUUAAGUUACUAAGGGCACACGGUGGAUGCCUUGGCGCUAGGAGCCGAAGAAGGACGCAGCGAACUGCGAUAAGCCUCGGGGAGCGGUAAGCACGCUUUGAUCCGGGGAUCUCCGAAUGGGGAAACCCACCAUCUGUAAUGGGAUGGUAUCCGUAUCUGAAUACAUAGGGUACGAGAAGGCAGACCCGGUGAACUGAAACAUCUAAGUAGCCGGAGGAAGAGAAAACAAUAGUGAUUCCGUCAGUAGUGGCGAGCGAACGCGGAAGAGCCUAAACCGUCGGGUUUACCCGGCGGGGUUGUGGGGCGU